rnacentral:rRNA from 1 species
UAUAAAGCAAGCCAAAACAAUUUAAUACCCCCUCAAUAUUACUUAAUAUAUAAAUAAUAACAUUCCCCUUAAAAUAUUUCAUCCCACCCAGGAUGGACGA